rnacentral:rRNA from 1 species
AGAGUUUGAUCAUGGCUCAGAACGAACGCUGGCGGCAGGCUUAACACAUGCAAGUCGAACGGGCCCUUCGGGGUCAGUGGCAGACGGGUGAGUAACGCGUGGGAACGUACCCUUUUCUACGGAAUAACGCAUGGAAACGUGUGCUAAUACCGUAUACGCCCUUUGGGGGAAAGAUUUAUCGGGGAAGGAACGGCCCGCGUUGGAUUAGCUAGUUGGUGGGGUAAAGGCCUACCAAGGCGACGAUCCAUAGCUGGUCUGAGAGGAUGAUCAGCCACAUUGGGACUGAGACACGGCCCAAACUCCUACGGGAGGCAGCAGUGGGGAAUAUUGGACAAUGGGCGCAAGCCUGAUCCAGCCAUGCCGCGUGAGUGAAGAAGGCCCUAGGGUUGUAAAGCUCUUUCACCGGAGAAGAUAAUGACGGUAUCCGGAGAAGAAGCCCCGGCUAACUUCGUGCCAGCAGCCGCGGUAAUA